rnacentral:ncRNA from 2 species
AUUAUCGGCAUAACGAAUGGUUCCUGAGCGGCGAUCUGCCGCAUGGGAUGAAAAGGGAAUGUGAAGGGACGGACCCAAUCCGGGCGUUCUCAUCACAGCCGACCCCGCGACUGUAGAGCGGUCAGGGUCUUUCGUUCGGUUUGAAAGGUAUUCCGUCGAUGGUUCGCAUGGGGCGACCGGGCGGGGUAACCGCAGGCCGGAAAAGCCACUGGCGUGGCAUCAUG